CUUUGAUUCCUGUUCUGCCUGGUCGUACCGAUCCCUGGCUGAGGAAAUACUAUCUGAGAUGCUCCAAUCUGUUGAAAUUUGGCUGGGCAAUCUUUCCUUAUGUGUCCCAUCUGACCACACUGGUAACAGACUCCAACCCCUCAAAGACACUCGCCUGGAUAAAACUUCCCAUAAGAUUGGCACUGUGGAAAGGUCCGAUGAUUAGAAGCCUCACUUUGCCUCGCUCCUUGAAUUCUCUAUGAAGAACCCUAAACAUAAGAAUGGCUCCCCACCGACUGCUGUCCAGAACUCUGGCUAUGUCUUGAUCCCUGACUAGAACUAGAACUCCCAGACUUAGAUUUAAAACCACCAAAUUUAGUGACACCUGGCCAAAAUCAUUUUCUGUUCUUCUUGAACCUUUCUCCUGAAGCUCCCGUUUGACUAUUACCACCUCGGAAGGUCACUUGUGCUCCUUGAUUACUUCUUUCUCGAAUAGCUGUCUCAAUCCACAACGUCGCCUCAACCAACAUACCGAAAUUUUGAUGCUCAUGAGCAGUAACCAUAGGCCGGAUCUCUGCUCUCAAUCCUUGCUCGAACCGUCUACACCUAUCUCUUUCCUUAGCAACCAAAGCACUUGCAUACUUAGACAAUUCUACAAACCUUACAUGAUAUUCAACAACCGACAUAGACCCCUGAGCCAAUCUUAAAAAUUCAUUUUGUUUUGCAUCACAAUAAAAUGGAGGAUAAUAUGUUUCAUAGAAAGCUUCCUUGAAAAUGGUCCAAGUGAUAAGACUCAGAUCUGG
rnacentral:lncRNA from 1 species